rnacentral:rRNA from 1 species
GACGAACGCUUGCGGCGUGCUUAACACAUGCAAGUCGAACGGAAAGGCCCUGCUUUUGUGGGGUGCUCGAGUGGCGAACGGGUGAGUAACACGUGAGUAACCUGCCCUUGACUUUGGGAUAACUUCAGGAAACUGGGGCUAAUACCGGAUAGGAGCUCCUGCUGCAUGGUGGGGGUUGGAAAGUUUCGGCGGUUGGGGAUGGACUCGCGGCUUAUCAGCUUGUUGGUGGGGUAGUGGCUUACCAAGGCUUUGACGGGUAGCCGGCCUGAGAGGGUGACCGGCCACAUUGGGACUGAGAUACGGCCCAGACUCCUACGGGAGGCAGCAGUGGGGAAUAUUGCACAAUGGGCGGAAGCCUGAUGCAGCAACGCCGCGUGCGGGAUGACGGCCUUCGGGUUGUAAACCGCUUUCGCCUGUGACGAAGCGUGAGUGACGGUAAUGGGUAAAGAAGCACCGGCUAACUACGUGCCAGCAGCCGCGGUGAUACGUAGGGUGCGAGCGUUGUCCGGAUUUAUUGGGCGUAAAGGGCUCGUAGGUGGUUGAUCGCGUCGGAAGUGUAAUCUUGGGGCUUAACCCUGAGCGUGCUUUCGAUACGGGUUGACUUGAGGAAGGUAGGGGAGAAUGGAAUUCCUGGUGGAGCGGUGGAAUGCGCAGAUAUCAGGAGGAACACCAGUGGCGAAGGCGGUUCUCUGGGCCUUUCCUGACGCUGAGGAGCGAAAGCGUGGGGAGCGAACAGGCUUAGAUACCCUGGUAGUCCACGCUGUAAACGGUGGGUACUAGGUGUGGGGUCCAUUCCACGGGUUCCGUGCCGUAGCUAACGCUUUAAGUACCCCGCCUGGGGAGUACGGCCGCAAGGCUAAAACUCAAAGGAAUUGACGGGGCCCCGCACAAGCGGCGGAGCAUGCGGAUUAAUUCGAUGCAACGCGUAGAACCUUACCUGGGUUUGACAUGGAUCGGGAGUGCUCAGAGAUGGGUGUGCCUCUUUUGGGGUCGGUUCACAGGUGGUGCAUGGCUGUCGUCAGCUCGUGUCGUGAGAUGUUGGGUUAAGUCCCGCAACGAGCGCAACCCUUGUUCACUGUCGCCAGCACGUUAUGGUGGGGACUCAGUGGAGACCGCCGGGGUCAACUCGGAGGAAGGUGGGGAUGACGUCAAGUCAUCAUGCCCCUUAUGUCCAGGGCUUCACGCAUGCUACAAUGGCUGGUACAGAGAGUGGCGAGCCUGUGAGGGUGAGCGAAUCUCGGAAAGCCGGUCUCAGUUCGGAUUGGGGUCUGCAACUCGACCUCAUGAAGUCGGAGUCGCUAGUAAUCGCAGAUUAGCAACGCUGCGGUGAAUACGUUCCCGGGGCU